UUUAAGAGCCUUAAAGACAUAAUUCUUCUGUUUCCCCAGUUCCUUGUAUGUCUUAGAAGUUUUGGCAGGACUGAGGAGUUAGUCAGAAGGAAUGGGUAAAUAUUGACUGGCCUGAAUGUGGGUAAAGGCACCGAAGAGAAGAAAAAAAUUGGUUUCUAUGACCCUUACUGAGAAUAUGAGUAAAUCUACACUAAGUACAGUCCAAAAGCUGUGCAAGUACUAACCCAGACAUCUAAACCAACAAAUGGAAGUCAAAACCGGCUUUAGUUACCACUGAAAUACAUUACAUAGAAUCAUAGACAAUCCCAAGUUGGAGCACAUCCAUGAGGAUCAUCCAAGUCCAACUCCUGGCCCUGCACAGGAUCACCUGAGGAAUCCCACUGUGCACCAGACAGCCUGAC
rnacentral:lncRNA from 12 species